rnacentral:tRNA from 4 species
GCACCCUUAGCUCAGUUGGUCAGAGCAACCGGCUCAUAACCGGUCGGUCCAAGGUUCGAAUCCUUGAGGGUGCACCA